rnacentral:rRNA from 1 species
UACGUAGGGGGCGAGCGUUGUCCGGAGUUACUGGGCGUAAAGCGCACGCAGGCGGUCUGUUAAGUUUGGAGUGACAGUUGGUGGCUCAACCACCAAAGUGCUUUGAAAACUGAUAGACUUGAGGGCUUCAGAGGGACACGGAAUUCCGGGUGGAGUGGUGAAAUGCGUAGAGAUCCGGAGGAACACCAGCGGCGAAGGCGGCAUCCUGGACUGGUCCUGACACUCAUGAGCGAAAGCGUGGGGAGCGAUCCGG